rnacentral:rRNA from 1 species
AGAGUUUGAUCAUGGCUCAGAACGAACGCUGGCGGCAUGCCUAACACAUGCAAGUCGAACGAGACCUUCGGGUCUAGUGGCGCACGGGUGCGUAACGCGUGGGAAUCUGCCCUGGGGUGCGGAAUAACUCGGAGAAAUCCGUGCUAAUACCGCAUAAUGUCUUCGGACCAAAGAUUUAUCGCCCUGGGAUGAGCCCGCGUAGGAUUAGCUAGUUGGUGGGGUAAAGGCCUACCAAGGCGACGAUCCUUAGCAGGUCUGAGAGGAUGAUCAGCCACACUGGGACUGAGACACGGCCCAGACUCCUACGGGAGGCAGCAGUGGGGAAUAUUGGACAAUGGGCGAAAGCCUGAUCCAGCAAUGCCGCGUGAGUGAUGAAGGCCCUAGGGUUGUAAGGCUCUUUUACCCGGGAUGAUAAUGACAGUACCGGGAGAAUAAGCUCCGGCUAACUCCGUG